CGCUGCAUGGCACCUUCGAUAGUCUGGGUAUAUAUUGCGCAUGUGUAGUUAACAGCAACGCGCUUGGUCGGGGCUCAAGUCUUCCCGAUGGUCCGUGAACCUACACAAUGCCGUGCUGGCAGUUGGGGAGGCGCUACAGGCGGGCAGACAAGGAGGCAUCACUUCAGCCUGAUCAGGGCAGGCGCCUCGCUAACUUCCCAGGGCCCCAAGAUCGGACCGCAGCUACCACCUCACCGGCAGUGCUGCCCAAUAACCCAAAUUACCAACAGGCUGUCAUCAACCAGACGGGGGUGAUGGGUGUUAGCUGCCACAACUUCUGCUCAGUCAGGGGUGUCACGCCCCAGCCAUGUUUUGCUCUAGGGCUGCCACCGGGGGCUGAAGUGGUAACUGAUGCCCCGUGGUUGAGUUUGGUUGCAUGAACGCGCCCCGCAGCCCGGUCCCAGCCCAGGUAUUGAGUCUGAGACAGCAGUCGAGAUCACUCCGAUGCUUUCACAAAGCUAGAGAGAGAGAGAGAGCAACACCGCAACACCAGGCCAGGGCCGGUGUUGCCUGACACCCCACGCUCGCCACCCAGCAGGGCAAGCCAACCGCCCGUCUACGAAACCUGGACCCCAAAGCUCCUCUGAGCACACACAUGUAAAGCACCACGGCAAACAGACCACCAACGCAGCUCCUCCUCAGCUCAGCUCGGCUCAGCGCCCGCAUGACCAGCUGCCCAACGCCUCCAACACGAGCCAACGAGCCUUCGCCCUGCGCAGCGCAGGCGAAGGUGACGCCAGAGCCAGAGGAACAGCACCGCCACACGGCUACAACUAAACAGACACCGGGACGUAGUUCACACAACCCACGCACCGACAGUUCGCCAGUUCUCAACCGCUGGGUUGCUUCCCACACUUAAGUUCACACGCCGUUAACUGCCCCAUUACUCAUACCCAGGCAGUGUUUGUCUGUGAACGACACGCGCCGUUGCCGGCGCACGACAGGAGCUAGAGUUGACAUCCUGCACCCGAGCAGCCAGCCAUCACACAGCCAGCCAUCACAGCCAAGUCGACACGACGCCCGAUGACGGCACCUGUCAUCCAGGCACCCCCAUCAAUCCGCCAGCUGACAUUCGUCUGUUCAAAGAGCACAAGACAAGACAAAACAAGACACGACAAGGCAAGAUGCGCUCAUCUGGUGGCACGCACGCACGCAACCUGAGCGCGGCCCGGCCAUCACAGGCGACACCUGAUGCAACUGUCAGGCACCCCGUACGCCAGCCUCAGCCCAUGUCGGUCACCACCCUGCGCCUUCCUUCACCCCGCACCCUCCACCCGGCGGCCUCAGUCAUGCUCCAGAGUGCGCAGCGCGUCCAGCAUGGUCUGCUCCACCUGCGGCGUGUCCGCCAGCAGCAUGGCCGUGGCGGUGACGGCGGCGUCGGCCUGCAGGCCAGCGUCGGUCUGGCGGACCAGGUGGAGCAGCUCGUAGUGCGCCGCCACCUCGAGCAGGUCAUGGUGGUCGAACGCCAGCUUGAUGCAGGUCUUGAGGUUGGUCACCUGGUGCGCCCAGCCCGGCGGCACCGUCACCACGUCGCCGUGUCUCUGGUCCAGCACGAGGAUGUCCCGGCCGACCACCAGGCCCCCCUGCUCUAUCAGCCACGCCACGCCCUCGUCCGUGAAGUACGGGCGGUUCUGCCCCGUGGCCUGGAUGUGGAACAGGUGCACGAAGUGCGUCACCCCGCUCGCCGUCUCCGCCGUCUGCAGCAGGUCGUACACCAGCUGCAGCGCCGUGCCCAGCGCCGCCGGCGACACGAAGACCCAGCGCGCCAGCACAGUGUUGGCCGCCUCGCCCCCGAGGCACGACGGCGCCAGUGCCAUAUUGAACGCGCGGAUGGGGCCCAGGUGCAUAGGGGAGACGCCACCCUUGAGUGGCGACAGCAGCGGCGCAUAGUCGGCGGGAGACGCGGGCUGCCGCGGCCGCCGCGUCGCGGUCCUGCUGCUCGCCGUGGCGUCCGCUGCCGCCGUUGCCGCCGCCGUUGCUGCCGCCGUUGCUGCCGCCGUUGCUGCCGUCGUGGCGUCCGCUGCCGCCGUGGCGUCCGCUGCCACCGUUGCCGCUGCCGUUGCGGACGUUCUGCUUCGCCGCGGCCGGCUGUGACCCGCCUGGGCCGCCUUGGCCGCCGCCGCCGCGGCAGCAGCCGCCGCCGCCGCGGGCGUGGGGGGCACGAAUGCCCGCGUUCCCACAAUGAUGAUGGACGCGUUCAUCAUCCGCAGCUGCACGUCGGGCGCGCUCAGCAGCUCGCUUGGCGAAGCCAGCUGCCGGUGCAGGCGGAGCAUAAUUGAAUCCUGCGAGGCGGUGGCUGAGCGCGGGAUGGUGUGGAGCACGUGGUACGUCUGGUCGGGCUCCAACAUCAGCUCAGUUGGCCGCUCGCCCGCCGCCGCCAGCAGCGCUGUCGCCUUUUGCCGCUCGCUGGCCGUGACGGCGCUGAAUAGUUUCAACUCGGUCUCGAGGUCAUGAACGGGCGGCCCGCCCUGCGAUGCACGUUUGGGGAGGCACGUUUGGGGAGGCACGUUUGGGGAGGCACGUUUGGGGAGGCACGGGACGUGAUGAGUGCAGGCAGACAUACAGACCGACACAUGGGUGCCACAUGGGUGCCGGGCCUCACCGCCGCGCUGGCUCCAUCGCCAUCAGUGCCGACGCCGUCACGCUGCGCCGCUGUACGCUUGCCCUUGACCGCCGACCACAGCGGGGCCGGGUGGAUGUCGGCGAUGCCGCGCCACUCCAGGAACGCCUGCAGCUGCACACACGUCGGCUUCUCCGCGUGCAGCGGGGUCACGCGCGCCUGUUGUCCCGGCAACGUGGCUUCACGCAGCACUUCCGUCACCAGCGGCUUCUGGUAUAGGUUCAGUGCGCACACGGGCACCGGGCUGACGCCCGGCUGCGCUUGGGCGACCAGCGAGCGCAGCGCCAGGCCGCGGUGGCGCUGCGCCGCCGCUACACCCACUGCUGUGGCGGCUCCUUCUGCCACGGCUGCUGCUGCCGCCAAGCCCUCCGCCGCCUCCACCCCCUCCGCCACUGCUGCUGCCGCCAAGCCCUCCGCCGCCGCCUCCUCCGCCACUGCUGCUGCCGCCAAGCCCUCCGCCGCCUCCACCCCCUCCGCCACUGCUGCUGCCGCCAAGCCCUCCGCCGCCGCCGCCUCCGCCGCUGCGGCUGCCGCCCCGGCCUGGGCUUGCCUGUGCCACAGGAGCUGCCAGGUGCCGCAAGGGCCACACAGGGUCACUCGCGGGUCCAGGCCGCUCUGCUGCUGCUGCUGCUGCUGCUGGCAGACCUGAUACCUGUAGCCCACGAUCACAACCCGGUGGCCGCAGACGCUGCACGCUUCGCCGGCAUCGAUUUGGGGUGCCUUUAGCAGCCGGUCCCAGCCGUCGCGGCCGCCUACAAGGGUCAAAAUGCAGGCCGCCGUAGUCGCCACCUCCAUUUUGCACGAGGCGUUGUGCGUGCUGUAAACGCGUCUGGCUACCGCGGCCUCUAUGGGUCCUGGGCCCUGCGCCACCGCUGGGGCUAGCGGUAUGACCAGGGGCCGCUGCUCCGCCAGGCGGAGCGCCAGCUCCUCACGCUGCGCGGCAUCCUUCUUCAAGGGACAAGGGUGGUUGUAUAGUCGGCAUGACGGGCUGGAGAAGAAGCCGGAGCACAACGGGCAGACGACCUCGUAGUCGUUGAUGUGCAUCUUUACAUGGCAGCCGCUGUUCCGGCAACAACAGCGGAUCGGGUUGCUGCAAGUCCCUUUCUGCUCACGGCCGGCCCACAUGCAACGAAGUCGUCCGGGGGCGCAACGACCAGGGGAGCCUCCCCUGGCAACGACCGGCCAUAUCGGGGACCGGGCCGUCGGCAAAACUGUCUGCGAAGGGCACGAGAAAGUCCAUGAUACGCAGGCGAAAUGCCACGUCUAGGCCGCAGGACACACGCACAGCGCACGCACUAACCAAGGCGCAAGCGUCCAGGUACUAGAACGGUCGCCCACACGUGCAUCCUGCCCACACACAAAGCCACCAACCACGCACAACCUCUCACGGCGAGGGAGGCGGGGAAUCAGCGUCAUACGGCAAGCGCAAAACCAUGCCGUCACCAACAGCCCGAGACAUGAAAGGAUGCGCAAACGGCACAGCGUCCCAACCCUUUGGCCUGAUACCCAAACUCACAAACGUCUGGAGACGACCCCAGAAGUCAGCUACGACGGCAAGUCCAAUGCUCAGCACCCGGGCCGACGGCAGCUUCGCUCGCGCCGCCAACCCGGCCAUAACCACACGCUGCCGACCAAAGUCCAGGGCAGACAUAGCAGCGAGACACACCACAUCCCACACAGGUGGCGCAAGCCCCGCAGGCGGGCGCACUAACCACAACUCCUCACGAGAGAAGGCACUCAGAGCAUCCUCCGGCAGGAAACCCAUAGCCAUCCCCAUACAUUCCCGCAGCGACAGCGCAACAGUGCAGUCCCAAAACCAUGGUUUUGCAUGCAAUGCAGUGACGCCGGUCCCCAUCCUGCAUGUCAAUCCCACACGCCCAACACGGGUCAACAGCAACGCCUCGCGCCCGCUCGCUAGCAUGUCGUGGAAACGCCCAGCAAGCGUUGGCGGCCACACGCCACAGUGCUUCCUUAUGAUGAUUCUCCCAUUUCAGCGACCACAAGCGGGCCAAGGUGCACAUGAAGGCCCCCGCCGCCAGGGCAGCCCCCACCCCGACACACCCGCAUCGCACACAUAUUGCAAAUGCUUAGCCUUCAGGGCGGCUAACUGUGGAGCCAUUUGCAGCACGGUCCCCGCCUUCACCGUGUAGGCAGUGAGCAUGAUGGGCGGCCCCCCGCACUGCAGCCAUCCAAGCCCCCGCACCACCCGUUGCACCGACUCCGCCGUAGCACUCACGACGUCGGCCACCGGGAGCGGCAGCGCGGCGGCAGGCCCCCGAGCCAGCUGGGCUGCACGCGCGGCGGCAGCCCAGCCAGCGGGAAGAAGGGCCACCGCCGCCGCAAACCGGUCGGCCGCCUCUUGAGGCGACGCCGGCCCCGGCAGGGGCGACGGCAGGCGCGCCCGCGUGCAGCACCCGCCGCCACACAGCAGUCACAUACAUAUCACCAAACCGGGAGCCCUCCGCCCAAGGGCGUGUCAAUGCCUGCCGCAGUUCGUUCAGGCCGUCAUGCGCUGCAACCAGCUGGCCCACACACGCCAGUCCCGGCAGAGCGAACAAAUCCGCGAAAGCCACUUCCCACGUGCGGCCAUCCUCACACAGCGCCGGGUUAGCCCACAACGGCACAUGACUCACCCACGCGCCCGGCUCGGGCGGCGCCACAAGACUCACCGCGGGCAGUUCAGUCAUGGCUUUCAGCAGGCGCGCAAACGGCUUGCCCGCCGGGGUGAGCGGCUUAUUUAGCACACGGUCCGCGGCCCCCCGCACCAACAAACGCAGGGGCGUUGCCGCCGGGUGCACCUGGCGCAGCCACGCCGCCGCGACCCGGGUCCACGGGGGCACGUACGGCAGCAGACCACACACACCCAAGACACACCGUACCGCGAGACCGGCUUGCCGCGCUUUCACAUGCGGCACCAGCGGUAACAGGCCCGCCCCCCCCACCGCCGGAGGCAGUUGCAUAAGUUCAAUGCUGGAGAGGCCAGGCGGGCGUGCCUGGGGGUUGGCAUCAAACUGGGCCGGCGACAGUCGCCGAUCCACCACCGCCGCUACCCUGGCUAGCAGCCGGUCAACAACGUACAGUGGGGGAAGACCCGCAAAUUCCAAAUGAUACAGGACCUUGCCCAGAGCAUAAGCCGACGCCGCGGCCGCCCGACCAAACAUGGACACGGGCAUGCGCGCGAUUUUGCUCAGCACCCCCAACACAGCCUCAAACGUAACUGGCGGGGAGAGUGCGCCCCAAUCCCCGUAAUGCACCCCUAGUGACUUGGCCGCAGGCACCACACGCCAGCAGCCAGGGGGCAGGGGCGGGCCAGCCAUGCCGGCCGGCAGGGCGCCAGCACCGCCGACCGUCCCCAUCACCAUCAGUUCAACUUUAGUCAUGUUUUCCCGUUGUCCAGACGCCCGCCGAAACACAUCCAUGUCCGCCAGGAACCCCGGCACCGCCUGAAACCCCUCUAGAAACGGCUUGCAAUCAUCCGCAUACUGGGACGCCAGCACCGACGCCAGGUGAGCGAGCACACCAUGCCCCCGGCUGCGUAGCCAUGACAGGAGGGCUUGUGCCACAGCGAGGUAGAGCAACGGAGCCAACGGGCAGCCCUGCCGCACGCCCGCCAUCAACGGCACCCAUCCUGACACACGUCCAUUCACCAACGCCGCCCCACGCGUAUCAGUUAACAGGCGGGACACCCACGUAAGAAAGCCCGCCCCCACGCCCAUGCGCUCCAGACACGCGAGCAGAAAAGAGCGGUCCACCGUAUCAUACGCCUUGUAAAAGUCUAGGAAGGCCGCCACAGCCGGGGCCUUUUUGGCGGCUUUCAACAGGCCAGGAGUAAGUUGGAGCAAGAGGACGUUAUCGGCAAUGCGACGGUCCGUCAGAAACGCAGUUUGCUCAGGGUCUAUGAUACGCCCAAACACCGGUUGCAGUCGCAAGCACAACACCCGGGCAAGGGUGCGGUAAUCGGUAUCCGUCAGCGUGAUGGGGCGAUAAUUAGAGGGCUCGGUAGGGUCGCCCGACUUAAAGCAGAAAGACCACACGCCAUCCAGAAGCCCGUCAGGCACCCCAGCCCCCUCCCCCACCGCCGUAAACACAUCCGCUAGGACCGGCGCAAAUUCACUCAUAGUGUUGGUAUAACUCCACCGGUAUGCCGUCAGGGCCCGCCGCGCGCCCAGCCGGCGCAGCGGCUAGCGCCGCGCGCACCUCCGCCGCCGAGACCGCAACCCGCCCCAGCUGAUCCGCCUCUUCGGCUGUACACCGGCGCCCGUGCUGUUGCAGCGCAUCCAGGACUUGCGUGCGGGCGUCUGGAGCGGGCGGCGGCGCGGCACUGACGUCCCUCCAGUACCGCGCCAUCACCUGCCCCAUGACCGUGGGGUCGGCUGCUGUAGUGGUGCCAUCGGGCUGUUUCAACUUGGCAAUCACGCGCGGCCCACGCAGCAUGCGCGUGAGGAGAGGGCAGGGCUUCUCGCCGCCACGCAGCCACGCGUGGCGCGUACGUCGCGCUGCGCCGGCGGCCGCGGCCACGGCGGCCUCCGCCGCCGUGCACCGCGCACGCACGGCCGCCUGCGCCGCCACCGGCACAUCACCGCCAGCCUCCACCGCGGCGGCGGCGGCUGCCGCCGCCUCAAGCGCGGCCGCCUCCCGCCGACUGGCGGCCACACGCCUCGUAACAGCUUCCCGGCUCAGGCGGUUGGCGGACGUGGCGGCAGCCCGUUUAAGGGCCGGCCACCACUCCAGCAGCUCAACAGGAUCAGUAGGGCGUGCCGCCAGGGCCGUACCCAGCCAGGCACGGUAGUCACGAUCCAAGUCUUUAAAGUCCCGGAAACCGAGGUGGGCCCUGGGCAGGCUCCGAGCGGGUGGCGCGGCUUCAGGCGACGCCGCAAGGUAGGGCAACCGUCACAAGCAUAUGAUCGGAGGGCACCCCGGCGGCGACGCCGCACUCCAGGACCUGCGGUUCGAGGCCGCCGCUGCACAGAAUGCGGUCCAGCCGACUCGCCCCGUGGGGGUGGAAGAAGGUACACACGCGGCGAGCCGGGUGGCGCCGCCGUAACACGUCAAUGAGGCCAGGGCACGCCGCCGCCAGCGCGGCGGCUGCGGGUCCGUCGCUGCGUGCCCAGCCAGUGACGGUGUCGAGCGCCACAUCUGCCACAAAGUUGAAGUCAGCUGCUAGGAGGUGCUCGCCCGAGCCCGACGCCCGCGGGCCCACCCACUCACGAAUGAACGUCUGCUGCGCUGUGGAUGCCAGGGGAAAGUAGGCUGACGUCAGCGUGAAGGUGCGUGUGGCCACCCCACUGCAACUGCAAACUAACACCGCGGCCCGCCCACGCGCCAGCCGCCACCGACACGGCAGCUGCGCCGCCAGUGAGCACCAUGGCGCCUUGCUGCAGAAGGCUCGACCGAAUGAGGAUUGCCGUGCCGCCAGUAACACGACGGCCCUCCGGCUUCUGGGCCGGCACCCACCACGCAGUCCACUCGCGUGCAUGCAGCCGCUGGGCGGCUGCCGCCAGGUCCGCCGUGACAAGGUCGAUGUCCGAGUCAAGAACGUGCGUCUCUUGGAGACACACCACAUCCAGGCGCUGCCGUUCCCAGCAGCUCAGCAGGGCGUGCAGGCGCGAGCACUCUGGCCACCUGUGUUAAACCAGGCUAGGCAUAGACAUAACCUAGCUGGCCAGGCGAGGACGCUGCUUCACUGCUGGAGGAAUACGCGAGUGCCGGGUUUGCUGGGACAAUGGACUGCCGUCGCAGUCCCCGAGUUGUGAGAUACCCCGGCGGUUCUCACUGGGCAUGCCCCCGAUUGCUAGCUGGUCCAAACGCUAGUCUUGCCUGCCGCUGAACACGCCUUGGCGUUCUCGCUCCCGCAGGUGAUCAGUCUGCUCUCAGCGAGUCACAAGAACUACACAUUAGUCGUCGUAAAGCCAAUAUGGAGUAACAGCGGACAGUGCCGCUCACAGGCGUCACUGCCCGCUACGUGCGCCGACCAACUGUACGGCAACUUCUUACUCGCACCUUUAUUUCUCUCAGGCUGAUAGCAAGCAAGGUUAAUCCUACACCAAGCAGGCGAUACACAGCAGUCUUAGCUGCUCAAGUCCACACGCAGUCACACACGCGACACAAAACCCUAGGCUACACACGCUCGUGCCGGUGGACCGGCGCCUCCGCAGGCUGCCCGAGCAGCGCGCUCGAGAACCGGUAUCCGAGACUUGCGAAGCCGGCGGCUGUCGAAUCCUCGCCUAACUAGUCCGUUUGGCAGCUCAGCUGACGGUGAUACGUGGUUGCUUAGGCUAGAGUGACGUUGCUAUGCGCCUGCGCGCCUAGACUUGGCUGCAACCCGAAGACGCCCCAACAGAUGACUUCCGGAAACCAGUGCGCUGUCCACCAGAGUUCGUUACAGACGUCGAUCCGUUGUUGGUGCACAUAUAUAAGAGUAAACCUAUGCACAGUUGGGAGUAACGAGAAAGCAGCGCCGGUACAGGCCGGCGCUGCGCCCUUAUAGCCGGGCGACAGCCUCAUCCCGCUGCAUGGCACGAACUAACCCCCACAACCAUGGCACGGUUAGCCCCUGCUGCCGGCGAAAUGCCAUGUCGGCAUAAUGGCGCGACAGCUGCCGGCGCAGUGUUCGAUCGUCACCCAGCAGUAGAGUCGUGUUUGAGACUUACCUAACCAAAACAGACAAGGGGUGUCAGCUUUGUACAGCUGGAAAAUGGGCUGAGCCCCAUGUAGCGCAAGGGAUGUGACGAUGGGCACCGGCGACAUGAACAGCACCCUUGCAAGCCCAUCCAGCGGGACUGGCCACUAUGCCAACGCCGUGCCGAGGCACCGACAUGUUCUGUCCCCGCCACGCCACGCCACCUUACCCACGCCACUUCACGGUCCAUGAUAUCCCAAAUGCACCUCACCCACAUCCCACUCAAGCACCGCAAACGGCUGGCC
rnacentral:lncRNA from 1 species